UUGGUGCUUGCAUCAUGAUUUACAUUUGAGUGAGUGGCGAACUGGUGAGUAACACGUGGGAAACCUGCCCAGAAGCGGGGGAUAACACCUGGAAACAGAUGCUAAUACCGCAUAACAACUUGGACCGCAUGGUCCGAGUUUGAAAGAUGGCUUCGGCUAUCACUUUUGGAUGGUCCCGCGGCGUAUUAGCUAGAUGGUGGGGUAACGGCUCACCAUGGCAAUGAUACGUAGCCGACCUGAGAGGGUAAUCGGCCACAUUGGGACUGAGACACGGCCCAAACUCCUACGGGAGGCAGCAGUAGGGAAUCUUCCACAAUGGACGAAAGUCUGAUGGAGCAACGCCGCGUGAGUGAAGAAGGGUUUCGGCUCGUAAAACUCUGUUGUUAAAGAAGAACAUAUCUGAGAGUAACUGUUCAGGUAUUGACGGUAUUUAACCAGAAAGCCACGGCUAACUACGUGCCAGCAGCCGCGGUAAUACGUAGGUGGCAAGCGUUGUCCGGAUUUAUUGGGCGUAAAGCGAGCGCAGGCGGUUUUUUAAGUCUGAUGUGAAAGCCUUCGGCUCAACCGAAGAAGUGCAUCGGAAACUGGGAAACUUGAGUGCAGAAGAGGACAGUGGAACUCCAUGUGUAGCGGUGAAAUGCGUAGAUAUAUGGAAGAACACCAGUGGCGAAGGCGGCUGUCUGGUCUGUAACUGACGCUGAGGCUCGAAAGUAUGGGUAGCAAACAGGAUUAGAUACCCUGGUAGUCCAUACCGUAAACGAUGAAUGCUAAGUGUUGGAAGGGUUUCCGCCCUUCAGUGCUGCAGCUAACGCAUUAAGCAUUCCGCCUGGGGGAGUACGGCCGCAAGGCUGAAACUCAAAGGAAUUGACGGGGGCCCGCACAAGCGGUGGAACCAUGGUGGUUUAAUUCGAAGCUACGCGAAGAACCUUACCAGGUCUUGACAUACUAUGCAAAUCUUAGAAAAUUAGACGUUCCCUUCGGGGAAUGGAUACAAGGGGGGGGCAAGGGUUGUCCUCAGCUCCUGUCCUGGAAAAUUUUGUGGUUUAAUUCCCCCCAACCAAGCGCCACCCCUUAUUAUUUAUUUGCCAGCCAUUAAAUUUGGGCACCCCCGUGUGGACAUGCCCGUUGCAAACCCACGGAGAAGAGGGGGGGGUGAGGGGCCAAAAUUCUUCUUCUCCCCCUUUUUAAACUGGGGGGUCA
rnacentral:rRNA from 2 species